rnacentral:ncRNA from 1 species
UAAUAUUUUACUGAUCAGGCAGCCGCUUUCCGCGGAAAUGCCGGGCUUGACACCGAUCGGGCAGCAGUGUGGUUUUUGAGACAAAAACAGCCUGCGGGACAGAA